rnacentral:rRNA from 1 species
GGGGAAUAUUGGACAAUGGGCGCAAGCCUGAUCCAGCCAUGCCGCGUGAGUGAUGAAGGCCCUAGGGUUGUAAAGCUCUUUCACCGGUGAAGAUAAUGACGGUAACCGGAGAAGAAGCCCCGGCUAACUUCGUGCCAGCAGCCGCGGUAAUACGAAGGGGGCUAGCGUUGUUCGGAAUUACUGGGCGUAAAGCGCCCGUAGGCGGAUCGAUCAGUUAGGGGUGAAAUCCCGGGGCUCAACCCCGGAACUGCCUCUAAUACUGUCGAUCUGGAGUUCGAGAGAGGUGAGUGUAAUUCCGAGUGUCGAGGUGAAAUUCGUAGAUAUUCGGAGGAACACCAGUGGCGAAGGCGGCUCACUGGCUCGAUACUGACGCUGAGGUGCGAAAGCGUGGGGAGCAAACA